UUGCACGCUGGCGGCAGGCCUAACACCUGCAAGUCGAACGGUAACAGGAAGAAGCUUGCUUCUUUGCUGACGAGUGGCGGACGGGUGAGUAAUGUCUGGGAAACUGCCUGAUGGAGGGGGAUAACUACUGGAAACGGUAGCUAAUACCGCAUAACGUCGCAAGACCAAAAAGGGGGACCUUCGGGCCUCUUGCCAUCGGAUGUGCCCAGAUGGGAUUAGCUAGUAGGUGGGGUAACGGCUCACCUAGGCGACGAUCCCUAGCUGGUCUGAGAGGAUGACCAGCCACACUGGAACUGAGACACGGUCCAGACUCCUACGGGAGGCAGCAGUGGGGAAUAUUGCACAAUGGGCGCAAGCCUGAUGCAGCCAUGCCGCGUGUAUGAAGAAGGCCUUCGGGUUGUAAAGUACUUUCAGCGGGGAGGAAGGGAGUAAAGUUAAUACCUUUGCUCAUUGACGUUACCCGCAGAAGAAGCACCGGCUAACUCCGUG
rnacentral:rRNA from 1 species